rnacentral:rRNA from 1 species
AGCGAACGCUGGCGGCAGGCUUAACACAUGCAAGUCGAGCGGGCCCUUCGGGGUCAGCGGUAGACGGGUGAGUAACGCGUGGGAACGUACCCUUUGGUUCGGAAUUACUGAGGGAAACUUGAGCUAAUACCGGAUACGCCCUUUUUGGGGCCAGGCUUGCUGCCGAAGGAGCGGCCCGCGUCUGAUUAGCUUGUUGGUGCGGUUAUGGCUCACCAAGGCGACGAUCAGUAGUUGGUUUGUGAGGAUGAUCAGCCACACUGGGACUGUGACACGGCGCAGACUCGUACGGGAGGCAGAAGUGGGGGAUAGUGAACAAUGGCGGGAACCCUGGUCCUGCCAUGCCGCGUGAGUGAUGACGGCCUUAGGGUUGUAAAGCUCGUUUCUCCGGGACGAUAAUGACGGUACCGGAGGAAUAAGCCCCGGCUAACUUCGUGCCAGCAGCCGCAGUAA